rnacentral:rRNA from 1 species
AUUGAACGCUGGCGGCAUGCUUUACACAUGCAAGUCGAACGGCAGCGCGGGCUUCGGCCUGGCGGCGAGUGGCGAACGGGUGAGUAAUACAUCGGAACGUGCCCAGUAGUGGGGGAUAGCUCGGCGAAAGCCGGAUUAAUACCGCAUACGACCUGAGGGUGAAAGCGGGGGAUCUUCGGACCUCGCGCUAUUGGAGCGGCCGAUGGCAGAUUAGCUAGUUGGUGGGGUAAAGGCCUACCAAGGCGACGAUCUGUAGCUGGUCUGAGAGGACGACCAGCCACACUGGGACUGAGACACGGCCCAGACUCCUACGGGAGGCAGCAGUGGGGAAUUUUCGACAAAGGGCGAAAGCCUGAUCCAGCAAUGCCGCGUGUGUGAUGAAGGCCUUCGGGUUGUAAAGCACUUUUGGCGGGAACGAAAAGGACUGUGCCAAUACCACGGUUCGAUGACGGUACCCGCAGAAUAAGCACCGGCUAACUACGUG